GACGAACGCUGGCGGCGUGCCUAACACAUGCAAGUCGAACGGAAUUAAGUUUAACACCGAACACUUAGUUUGGUGGAGACGCCUGACCGAGCGGUGGGUGUUGAGCUUAAUUUAGUGGCGGACGGGUGAGUAACGCGUGAGUAACCUGCCUUUCAGAGGGGGAUAACGUCUGGAAACGGACGCUAAUACCGCAUGAUAUAUUUGGGCUGCAUGGUCUGAAUAUCAAAGGAGCAAUCCGCUGAAAGAUGGACUCGCGUCCGAUUAGCUAGUUGGUGAGAUAAAGGCCCACCAAGGCGACGAUCGGUAGCCGGACUGAGAGGUUGAACGGCCACAUUGGGACUGAGACACGGCCCAGACUCCUACGGGAGGCAGCAGUGGGGGAUAUUGCACAAUGGAGGAAACUCUGAUGCAGCAACGCCGCGUGAGGGAAGACGGUUUUCGGAUUGUAAACCUCUGUCCUUGGUGACGAAACAAAUGACGGGAGCCAAGGAGGAAGCUCCGGCUAACUACGUGCCAGCAGCCGCGGUAAUACGUAGG
rnacentral:rRNA from 1 species